GAUGAAGAACGUAGCGAAAUGCGAUAAGUAAUGUGAAUUGCAGAAUUCAGUGAAUCAUCGAAUCUUUGAACGCACCUUGCACCCUUUGGCAUUCCGAAGGGUAUGCUCGUUUGAGUGUCAUUGUACUCUCACACUCUCCGAUCCUAUGGAUUCGGGGAGCGGUGGACUUGGGUGUUGCUGCCUUUCCCUGUGGCUCACCUCAAAUGCGUCAGUGCACCUCUUGGUUGGACAUAGUACGGCGUGAUAAGUGUCUUCGCCGGCACCUCGCAAGAGGGUGGCCGAUCGGGAGCUCUGCGCUUUCAAACCGUCUUCGGACAAUUUCUGACAUCUUGACCUCAAAUCGAGUAGGACUACCCGCUGAACUUAAGCAUAUCAAUAAGCGGAGA
rnacentral:misc_RNA from 1 species